UUAUAAAACAGGGAAUGAGAAAUGAGGAAAUGAGAAAUGAGGAAAUGAGAAAUGAGGAAAUGAGGAAAUGAGGAAAUAAGAAAUAGGAAAUGAGGAAAUGAAGAAAUGAGAACGAGAAAUGAGCUGUUAGGCAGAGCAUAUAUCUAUGGGCAGAGCAAGUCUGAAGACGAAGCUAACAUCUACUGUGCUACAGGUACGUACCUCCUGGUGACAAGUCUCCUGGACCAUACAGAACUUAUGUUCCUCUGGUACACGGUGUGACACUCUCUACCUCUAUCUACUUGUGUGCCAUGUACGACUGGCAUGGUUCAGACAUCAGAUCUACCUUCGUAACGGUACUUACAUGUACUGUCCUACAGUCCCACAGUCUCAAACAAUUUACCUAUGCGUGGCUAUACUGGCAAUACAUUCACUGAUUUCACAAUCCGGUGGGCAAGUGAUAGUCAAUGGACUGGACUCAAUGUCAACAUCUACAUGGUGAAGAAAGCAAUUCCCAUUACCAUUCUCACAAGCAAUGCCUAGUGAAAGCUGAUGCUACCUUUAAUGAAGAAAGCUCACUGUGCCAUCUGAAGCGAUGGUAAAAUUUAAUUCUUACAAUGUGUCCGACAACCUGUACUGUGUGGAGGUGCCACUAUAAUUAUAUAUUUGAUAACUAAAUACUUAGUCACCUACUAGCUUCUUGGCUGAUAUCAGUCAUUACUUUUGUGCAUCUAUAUAAUAAUUAUUAUUAUAAUAAUGUCAUAAUUAUUGUGAUGAAAAUUAAUG